rnacentral:rRNA from 1 species
AUGGACAUGUACUCAGCUCCGUCUUGCCCUACCGAGGCGAGGGCAUCUGUUAAGCAUCUAAUAGGGCAGUUUGCAUCUGGAAUGACCGGCUUGCUCGGGAAGUUGGUUGAGGGGUGGACGUCCCUCAGUGGCUCUGACAGCGACGCAGUUGCGAGGCAGUUCACUUCGUUUGUCCGAGAACGUACACACCGGCCAACCGGUUGCCGUGGCUGGUAUGACUACAACAAUUCCCAAGAGCCUACUGACACACAAGAUGAACUAGAUGGAGAUGCUGGUCUCAGCAAGGAUGACGACCAUGUCAUGGAGAAUGUGCAAGAGAACACCGAUGAUGAUGAUCAUGCUGAAGUUCACGCAGGUGGUAACAAGGGCAAGGAUGCAACAGAUGUCCCCCAACCGGAGAAAGUGAAACAACACACGACUACGAGAGGCGAGGGGGUUUUGCCAUCAAAGAGGGGGAGGGCUCCAGAGGGUGUUGGGCAGGGUUCUGCUGGCAAGAGGCUAGAACAACAGGCAUCCGUACAUCGGGGAGUGACGAGUCGGUAUCUGCCAGGACAGCUGAAAUAUUGCCAACUCUUCUGGCAAUGA